AGCGGGUGAAAAGCCCGCUCGCCGGAAGACCAAGGGUUCCUGUCCAACGUUAAUCGGGGCAGGGUGAGUCGACCCCUAAGGCGAGGCCGAAAGGCGUAGUCGAUGGGAAACGGGUUAAUAUUCCCGUACUUGGUGUUACUGCGAAGGGGGGACGGAGAAGGCUAUGUUGGCCGGGCGACGGUUGUCCCGGUUUAAGCGUGUAGGUGUGUGUUCCAGGUAAAUCCGGUUCACUUUAACACUGAGGCGUGACGACGAGGCACUACGGUGCUGAAGCAACAAAUGCCCUGCUUCCAGGAAAAGCCUCUAAGCAUCAGGUAACAUCAAAUCGUACCCCAAACCGACACAGGUGGUCAGGUAGAGAAUACCAAGGCGCUUGAGAGAACUCGGGUGAAGGAACUAGGCAAAAUGGUGCCGUAACUUCGGGAGAAGGCACGCUGACACGUAGGUGAAGUGAUUUACUCACGGAGCUGAAGUCAGUCGAAGAUACCAGCUGGCUGCAACUGUUUAUUAAAAACACAGCACUGUGCAAACACGAAAGUGGACGUAUACGGUGUGACGCCUGCCCGGUGCCGGAAGGUUAAUUGAUGGGGUCAGCGCAAGCGAAGCUCCUGAUCGAAGCCCCGGUAAACGGCGGCCGUAACUAUAACGGUCCUAAGGUAGCGAAAUUCCUUGUCGGGUAAGUUCCGACCUGCACGAAUGGCGUAAUGAUGGCCAGGCUGUCUCCACCCGAGACUCAGUGAAAUUGAACUCGCUGUGAAGAUGCAGUGUACCCGCGGCAAGACGGAAAGACCCCGUGAACCUUUACUAUAGCUUGACACUGAACAUUGAGCCUUGAUGUGUAGGAUAGGUGGGAGGCUUUGAAGUGUGGACGCCAGUCUGCAUGGAGCCGACCUUGAAAUACCACCCUUUAAUGUUUGAUGUUCUAACGUGGACCCGURAUCCGGGUUGCGGACAGUGUCUGGUGGGUAGUUUGACUGGGGCGGUCUCCUCCUAAAGAGUAACGGAGGAGCACGAAGGUUGGCUAAUCCUGGUCGGACAUCAGGAGGUUAGUGCAAUGGCAUAAGCCAGCUUGACUGCGAGCGUGACGGCGCGAGCAGGUGCGAAAGCAGGUCAUAGUGAUCCGGUGGUUCUGAAUGGAAGGGCCAUCGCUCAACGGAUAAAAGGUACUCCGGGGAUAACAGGCUGAUACCGCCCAAGAGUUCAUAUCGACGGCGGUGUUUGGCACCUCGAUGUCGGCUCAUCACAUCCUGGGGCUGAAGUAGGUCCCAAGGGUAUGGCUGUUCGCCAUUUAAAGUGGUACGCGAGCUGGGUUUAGAACGUCGUGAGACAGUUCGGUCCCUAUCUGCCGUGGGCGCUGGAGAACUGAGGGGGGCUGCUCCUAGUACGAGAGGACCGGAGUGGACGCAUCACUGGUGUUCGGGUUGUCAUGCCAAUGGCACUGCCCGGUAGCUAAAUGCGGAAGAGAUAAGUGCUGAAAGCAUCUAAGCACGAAACUUGCCCCGAGAUGAGUUCUCCCUGA
rnacentral:rRNA from 1 species